rnacentral:rRNA from 1 species
AAGAAACGAAUUUAGGGCACACGGGGGAUGCCUAGGCUUCCAGAGGCGAAGAAGGACGCGGCAAGCUGCGAUAAGCUGCGGGAAGGCGCAUACGGCCGCAAAACCCGCAGGUUUCCGAAUGGGGCAACCCAUCCCGCAGGGGAUACCUAUUAUAGGAGCCAACCAGCCGAACUGAAACAUCUAAGUAAGCUGAGGAAAAGAAAGAGACAUCGAUUCCCCGAGUAGCGGCGAGCGAAACGGGAAGAGCCCAAACCGGGGCGGUUACGGCCGCGCCGGGGUUGUAGGGCCGCAUUUAGGGCGUAUAUCGAUGCAGGAACAGCGCUGGAAAGCGCGGCCAUAGCGGGUGACAGCCCCUUGCUUGGCGGAUAUGCGCCUGAGCGGUACCCUGAGUAGGGCGGGGCACGUGAAACCCUGCCUGAAUCCGCGCGGACCGUCGCGCAAGGCUAAAUACUCCUGGAAGACCGAUAGCGUACCAGUACCGUGAGGGAAAGGUGAAAAGUACCCCGAACAGGGGAGUGAAAUAGAUCCUGAAACCGUGUGCCUGCAAGCGGGCGGAGCAUUCAUUUGUGACGCCGUGCCUUUUGCAUAAUGAGCCUACGAGUUGCUCCCAGCCGGCAAGGGUAAGCCCUUCAGGGGCGGACCCGGAGCGAAAGCGAGCCUUAACAGGGCGCGAGUCGGCUGGGGCAGACGCGAAACUUUGUGAUCUACCCAUGGCCAGGCCGAAGUCCCGGUGAAGCGGGAUGGAGGGCCGAACCGGUAAGCGUUGAAAAGCUUUCGGAUGAGCUGUGGGUAGGGGUGAAAGGCCAAUCAAACUGAGAGAUAGCUCGUACUCCCCGAAAUGCAUUUAGGUGCAGCCCGGAUUAUGAGCCCUGCGGAGGUAGAGCUACCGAUUGGACGAGGGGGCUUCGCGGCCUGCCGAAUCCAGACGAACUCCGAAUGCCGCAGGUUGCUUUUCCGGAGUGAGCCCCGGGGUGCUAAGGCCACGGGGCGAGAGGGAAAGAACCCAGACUGCCGCCUAAGGCCCCCAAACGCGCGCUCAGUUGUCCCCCAACGGGGUGCGGCUGCAGAGACAGCUAGGAUGUUGGCUUGGAAGCAGCCAUCCAUUUAAAGAGUGCGUAACAGCUCACUAGUCGAGCGGCCGCGCAUGGAUAAUGACCGGGCAUAAGCGCGCUGCCGAAGGCGCAGGAUAAUUAAUUAUCGGUAGGGGAGCAUCGCGCACGCGCUGAAGGCACCGGGCGACCGGUGCUGGAGCGUGCGGGAAAGAAAAUGUAGGCAUAAGUAACGACAAGGCAGGAGAGAAACCUGCCCGCCGAAAGGCUGAGGUUUCCUGAUCAACGCUAAACGGAUCAGGGUAAGCCGGGACCUAAGGAUAAGCGGAUAAGCGAUUCCGAUGGAAAUCAGGUUAAUAUCCCUGAGCCCAACCCCAACAAUGGCGACGCGCUGCCGAGGCGUGCGCGGGCUGACGGAAUAGCCCGCCUGAGCGCUCCCCUCCGGGGGAGGGCGAGCACGAGCAGGCAGCGCCAGGAAAAGCCGGGGAUUGGCCCGUACCGCAAACCGACACAGGCAGCCGGGAUGAAUAUUCUAAGGCGCUCGGGAUACCCAUGGCUAAGGAACUCGGCAAAUUAGCCCCGUAACUUCGGGAUAAGGGGAGCCGCAGCAAUGCGGCCGCAGAGAAAUGGCCCAAGCGACUGUUUACCAAAAACACAUGGCUUUGCAAACUCGAAAGAUGAAGUAUAAGGCCUGACACCUGCCCGGUGCCGGAAGGUUAAGAGGAGAUGUCACGCAAGGAAGCAUUGAAUCGAAGCCCCGGUAAACGGCGGCCGUAACUAUAACGGUCCUAAGGUAGCGAAAUUCCUUGUCGGGUAAGUUCCGACCUGCACGAAUGGUGUAACGACUUGGGCGCUGUCUCAGCCAUGGCCCCGGUGAAAUUGUAGCAGCGGUGAAGAUGCCGCUUACCCGCAGCGGGACGGAAAGACCCCGUGAACCUUUACUGCAGCUUAGCGCUGUUCCUGGGCAGGCGCUGUGUAGGAUAGGCCGGAGGCGAUGAAUGGGGGGCGCCAGCCCCCCUGGAGCCUACCUUGAAAUACGGCCCUGCACCUGUCCGGGACCUAACGCCCGAAAAGGGCGGACACCGCUUGGCGGGCAGUUUGACUGGGGUGGUCGCCUCCAAAAGAGCAACGGAGGCUCCCAAAGGUACCCUCGGCGCGCCUGGCAACCGCGCUCCGAGAGCAAUGUCAGAAGGGUGCUUGACUGCAAGGCCGACGGGCCGAGCAGGUACGAAAGUAGGGCAUAGUGAUCCGGCAGCCCGCUACGGUGCGGCUGUCGCUCAAAGGAUAAAAGGUACUCCGGGGAUAACAGGCUGAUCGCCGCCAAGAGCUCAUAUCGACGCGGCGGUUUGGCACCUCGAUGUCGGCUCGUCACAUCCUGGGGCUGGAGAAGGUCCCAAGGGUUCGGCUGUUCGCCGAUUAAAGUGGCACGCGAGCUGGGUUCAGAACGUCGUGAGACAGUUCGGUCCCUAUCUGCUGCGGGCGCAGGAAUUUUGAGGGGGGCUGUCCCUAGUACGAGAGGACCGGGACGGGCGUUCCUCCGGUGCGCCAGCUGUCCCGCCAGGGGCACCGCUGGGUAGCCGCGAACGCAGGCGAUAAGCGCUGAAAGCAUCUAAGCGCGAAGCGCGCCCCGAGAUGGGAAUUCCCUUGAGGGCCGCAGGAGACUACUGCGUCGAUAGGCCGCAGGUGGAAGGCAGGCGACUGCUGCAGCCGAGCGGUACUAAUAGCCCGGGAGAGUUUCCCGU